UGUGGACUGACGUCCCAUUUCCUUCUGCCACACCUACCACACAGGAUAGGAGGACUCGAGUCAAGCCAAGAGGCUGUCAGCAAAAGAAACACAUUUUUGAACCAUCAGCCUAGAGGCUUCUACUCUUCGGCCCACUGAAGGGUCACUGGUAUGUGACACAGUAAGUGGAGGAAUCCUGAGCCCAGUAAGGUUGGACCUGGGCUCCU
rnacentral:lncRNA from 1 species